AUCUUCUUAAAAAUAAAAAAGAGAUCAAGUUUCGGCGGGAGGACCGCCCACCUUCCGCCAAAUGGAGGAAGUGAAAAGGAAGUAUGGAGAAAUGGAUUGAGGAUUCAGCAUCAGGAGGCACAAUUUGGCAACAAAAUGAUAUGAAUGGUAGUGGUUGAAUAUCAUUUGUAUAGAAAUAGGAGAGUAUCUUCUCUCUCUGUCUCUCUCUUCUUCAUCUCUCCGC
ensembl:ncRNA F33D4.11 ncRNA